rnacentral:rRNA from 2 species
GCGAAGUCGCGAGGCUAAGCUAAUCUCUUAAAGCUUCUCUCAGUUCGGAUUGCAGGCUGCAACUCGCCUGCAUGAAGCCGGAAUCGCUAGUAAUCGCGGAUCAGCACGCCGCGGUGAAUACGUUCCCGGGCCUUGUACACACCGCCCGUCACACCACGAGAGUUUGUAACACCCGAAGUCGGUGAGGUAACCUUUUUGGAGCCAGCCGCCUAAGGUGGGAUAGAUGAUUGGGGUGAAGUCGUAACAAGGUAGCCGUAUCGGAAGGUGCGGCUGGAUCACCUCCUUUCUAAGGAA